UGAAGUUCUGCAUGGACUUUAGUAAUGCAAGUUUCACAGGAAGUUAUUUGGAAAUUUCUUCAUUUGAGAGUCUAACUCUGAAGCAUCAAAUGAAGAAUUAAGGCAACAACUUCAAGAAGUUCUAGAGGAAGUAGAAAUUUUAAGAGUUGAGUUGGAGGCAUCUCAAAGACAACUUGAAGGCAAAGAGCAAGCAUUAAAAAUUCUGCAAAGCAUGG